GCCGCACCUGGCUCUCCUUUCGAGGAUGAGCGUCAAAUGACUUCUGCUCCGGCGAGACACAUUGAGAGGACGGGAUGUUAGAACUAAGAUCUUGUUCCUGUAACCGCACCACACCUUGUCGUGGACUACUGUCAUACAGCGGAUGGAGUGGUGAGGCCGGCCUAGAUCCAGCAGGUGGUAGUUGGUGAGGUCCCACUGACCGUCUGCAUGGGAGAAACAGAGACUAAAGAACCAAGCUUGUCUUACCACAGACAGAGACUAUGCCACACACUCACCGAUGCCUCUGUGGAAGAUUGCUAAUGUCCCAUCAGCCAACGCUACCAGGACUCUCCCCUUAACAUGCCUGUAAAAGCACCCCCUAGUGGCUGUUGUCAUUCUCACCACCCGUUCUGAGCUCCCAGCCACAUGGUGGGGAGAGCGCUGCUCAUCCUCUGGA